rnacentral:rRNA from 1 species
GAUGAACGCUGGCGGCGUGCCUAAUACAUGCAAGUCGAGCGAACAGACGAGGAGCUUGCUCCUCUGACGUUAGCGGCGGACGGGUGAGUAACACGUGGAUAACCUACCUAUAAGACUGGGAUAACUUCGGGAAACCGGAGCUAAUACCGGAUAACAUGUUGAACCGCAUGGUUUAACAGUGAAAGACGGUCUUGCUGUCACUUAUAGAUGGAUCCGCGCCGCAUUAGCUAGUUGGUAAGGUAACGGCUUACCAAGGCAACGAUGCGUAGCCGACCUGAGAGGGUGAUCGGCCACACUGGAACUGAGACACGGUCCAGACUCCUACGGGAGGCAGCAGUAGGGAAUCUUCCGCAAUGGGCGAAAGCCUGACGGAGCAACGCCGCGUGAGUGAAGAAGGUCUUCGGAUCGUAAAACUCUGUUAUUAGGGAAGAACAAAUGUGUAAGUAGCUAUGCACGUCUUGACGGUACCUAAUCAGAAAGCCACGGCUAACUACGUG